AAGGAUAUAGCUCAGUGGUAGAGCACAUGCUUAGCAUACACAGGGUCCUGGGUUCAAUCCCCAGUACCCCCU
rnacentral:tRNA from 1 species